rnacentral:rRNA from 1 species
UACGGAGGGGGCGAGCGUUAUUCGGAAUUAUUGGGCGUAAAGGGCGCGUAGGCGGCUUGGCAAGUCAAAGGUGAAAUCCCUCGGCUCAACUGAGGAACUGCCUUUGAAACUGCCUGGCUUGAGGCCGGGAGGGGGUAGCGGAAUUCCCAGUGUAGCGGUGAAAUGCGUAGAUAUUGGGAGGAACACCAAUUGCGAAGGCAGCUCGCUGGGACGUUACUGACGCUGAGACGCGAAAGCGUGGGGAGCAAACAGG